UGAUGGGCUAUGGCUUACCUACUGAUGGGUGUAACCAUGUGUGUUCUUACAGUCACGCUGUCCUUGAAGGAUAUGAAUCCACAGAUGCCGUACGUGAACGUCCCCCUGAUCUUCACUGUCAUUUGCAUUUAUGGACUUGGGCUUUCUGGAGUAUCCGUGGUUCUCCGGUGCUGACCUUUUCGUCCAAGCCUGGCGUCCUUCUGCUUUCAUGAUCAGUGGAUCCAUCUUCUGGUUUUGCAUUUGUUUGGUUGGAAUGACGUUUGGAUAU